rnacentral:rRNA from 1 species
GACGAACGCUGGCGGCGUGCUUAACACAUGCAAGUCGAACGGAAAGGCCCUGCUUUUGUGGGGUGCUCGAGUGGCGAACGGGUGAGUAACACGUGAGUAACCUGCCCUUGACUUUGGUAUAACUUCAGGAAACUGGGGCUAAUACCGGAUAGGAGCUCCUGCUGCAUGGUGGGGGUUGGAAAGUUUCGGCGGUUGGGGAUGGACUCGCGGCUUAUCAGCUUGUUGGUGGGGUAGUUGCUUACCAAGGGUUUGACGGGUAGCCGGCCUGAGAGGGUGACCGGAGACAAUGGGACUGAGAUACGGACCAGACUCCAACGGGAGGAAGCAGUGGGGAAUAUUGCAAAAUGGGCGGAAGCCUGAUGCAGCAACGCCGCGUGCGGGAUGACGGCCUUCGGGUUGUAAACCGCUUUCGCCUGUGACGAAGCGUGAGUGACGGUAAUGGGUAAAGAAGCACCGGCUAACUACGUG